rnacentral:rRNA from 1 species
CCUACGGGUGGCAGCAGUGAGGAAUAUUGGUCAAUGGCCGGAAGGCUGAACCAGCCAUGCCGCGUGAAGGUCAGUGCCCUAUGGGCGUUAAACUUCUUUUGUGCGGGAGCAAUAAUGGUCACGUGUGGCCAGACGAGAGUACCGUACGAAUAAGCAUCGGCUAACUCCGUGCCAGCAGCCGCGGUAAUACGGGGGAUGCAAGCGUUAUCCGGAUUUUUUGGGUUUAAAGGGUGCGUAGGCUGUGAGGUAAGUCGGCGGGGAAAUGCCCCGGCUCAACGGGGUGAAGUGCCAUUGAUACUGCCUUGCUGGAGUGCGGGUGCGGUGGGAGGAAUGUGUGGUGCAGCGGUGAAAUGCAGAGAGAUCACACAGAACACCGAUUGCGAAGGCAGCUCACGAAUCCGCGAUUGACGCUGAUGCACGAAAGCGUGGGUAUCAAACAGGAUUAGAUACCCUAGUAGUC